CCAAGAUUUGGAAACAUUUAAAAGUCUUAGUUUUUUAGACUUAGGGGCUGCAAUGCACUCCUUAAAUCCCCAAAUGACGACUAGUGUCAAAAUAUAGGUGCAAGAAAUGUUUCAAUGUAGUUGCUUUUAAAGCAAGCUAUGUUUGGUGGUGAGACUGGACUAAGUUGGUGUUUGGUACCAAGAUUUGGAAAUUUUUUAAAGUCUUGGUUUUUUAGACUUAGGGACUGGAAUGCACUCUUUAAAUCCCCAAAUGAUAACUAGUGUAAAAAUAUAGGUGCAAGAAAUGUUUCAAUUUAGUUUCUUUUCAAGCAAGCUAUGUUUGGUUGUGAGACUAGACUAAGUUGGUGCAUCGUGCCAAGAUUUGGAAAGAUUUGAAAGUCUUGGUUUUUUACACAUAGGGGCUGCAAUGCACGCCUUAAAUCCCCAAAUGACGACUAGUGUCAAAAUAUAGGUGCAAGAAAUGUUUCAAUUUAGUUGCUUUUAAAGCAAGCUAUUUUUGGUGGUGAGACUGGACUAAGUAUGUGUUUGGUACCAAGAGUUGGAAAUUUUUUAAAGUCUUGGUUUUUUAGACUUAGGGGUUGCAAUGCACUCUUUAAAUCCCCAAAUGACGACUUGUGUCAAAAUGUAGGUGCAGGAAAUUUAUCAAUUUAGUAGCUUUUUAACCAAGUUAUGUUCGGUGGUGCGACUAGACUAAGUUGGUGAUUGGUACCAAGAUUUGGAAAUUUUUGAAGGUCUUGGUUUUGUAGACUUAGGGGCCCAAAUGCACUGUUUAAAUCCCCAAAUGACGACCAGUGUCAAAAUAUAGGUGCAAGAAAUGUUUCAAUUUAGUUGUUUUCAAGCAAGCUAUGUUUGGUGGUGAGACUGGAUUAAGUUGGUAUUUAGUACCAAGAUUUUGAAAUUUUUUAAAGUCUUUCUUUUUUAGACUUAGGGGCUGGAAUGCACUCUUUAAAUCCCCAAAUGAUAACCAGUGUAAAAAUAUAGGUGCAAGAAAUGUGUCAAUUUAGUUUCUUUACAAGCAAGCUAUCUUUGGUUGUGAGACUCGACUAAGUUGGUGCUUCGUGCCAAGAUUUGGAGACAUUUGAAAGUCUUGGUUUUUUACACUUAGGGGCUGCAAUGCACUCCUUAAAUCCCCAAAUGACGACUAGUGUCCAAAUACAGGUGGAAGAAAUGUUUCAAUUUAGUUGGUUUUAAAGGAAGCUAUAUUUCGUUUUGAGACUGGAUUAAGUUGGUGCUUCGUGCCAAGAUUUGGAAACAUUUGAAAGUCUUGGUUUUUUAGACUUAGGGGCUGCAAUGCACUCCUUAAAUCCCCAAAUGACGACUAGUGUCAAAAUAUAGGUGCAAGAAAUGUUNUAUGUUUGGUGGUGACACUGGACUAAGUUGGUGAUUGGUAUCAAGUUUUGGAAAUUGUUGAAGGUCUUGGUUUUUUAGAGUUAGGGGCCGCAAUGCACUCUUUAAAUACCCAAAUGACGACCAGUGUCAAAAUAUAGGUGCAAGAAAUGUUUCAAUUUAGUCGCUUUUCAAGCAAGCUAUGUUUGGUUGUGAGACUAGACUAAGUUGGUGCAUCGUGCCAAGAUUUGGAAAGAUUUGAAAGUCUUUGUUUUUUACAUGUAGGGGCUGCAAUGCACGCCUUAAAUCCCCAAAUGACGACUAAUGUCAAAAUAUAGGUGCAAGAAAUGUUUCAAUUUAGUUGUUUUUAAAGCAAGCUAUUUUUGGUGGUGAGACUGGACUAAGUUGGUGUUUGGUACCAAGAUUUGGAAA
rnacentral:lncRNA from 1 species